rnacentral:rRNA from 1 species
UACGGAGGAUCCAAGCGUUAUUCGGAAUUACUGGGCGUAAAGCGUGCGCAGGCGGUCCGCUAAGACAGAUGUGAAAUCCCCGGGCUUAACCUGGGAACUGCAUUUGUGACUGGCGGGCUAGAGUAUGGCAGAGGGGGGUAGAAUUCCACGUGUAGCAGUGAAAUGCGUAGAGAUGUGGAGGAAUACCGAUGGCGAAGGCAGCCCCCUGGGCCAAUACUGACGCUCAUGCACGAAAGCGUGGGGAGCAAACAGG